rnacentral:rRNA from 1 species
UACGUAGGGGGCAAGCGUUGUCCGGAUUUAUUGGGCGUAAAGCGCUCGCAGGUGGUUCGAUGCGUCGUGCGUGAAAGACCCCGGCUCAACUGGGGAGUGUCGUGCGAUACGGUCGGACUGGAGGCCAGUAGGGGGAUGCGGAAUUCCGGGUGUAGUGGUGGAAUGCGUAGAGAUCCGGAGGAACACCAGCGGCGAGGCGGCAUCCUGGACUGGUCCUGACACUCAUGAGCGAAAGCGUGGGGAGCGAGUCCGGAUUGAGAUACCCCUA